ensembl:lncRNA
GCAUACAUAGUAAGUGUCUGUGAAUUAGAAUAUUACACAUAUACAGGUUAUUUCACUUGUGAUCAAUAAGAGAACAGAGAAAACAGAGAAAUUACAACCAUUUAAUUAAAUUGGCACGCUUAUAUCAAUCAUAACACAGAUACAGCUACAAAAAAAGGAGAAAUACUGUACAUAAAAUCCUAAAACCACAUGUAAAUCUUGCUACAGCUGCUAUGUUCACUUGAAAGAUUAAGUGAAAUUACAGUCAUGUUUAUCAGUAUCCCCAAAAGGAUAAGCUACAACCAGUAUGUUUAACACUGUAAUGCAUUUCAUGUUACUAGCUUGGCUAAAAACACAUGAACCAUCCCCAUUCCUCACAACGUACCAUUACAUACUGCAUAGAAAUUAUGAAAAAACCCUAGUUUUACAGCAGCUAUAUCAAAUGUUAUUGCAAUGCCAUCACCGAACAGAGUCAAACAACAUUUAACAUAAUGCACAGGCCUGACGAAAAAUCCAGUACAUGUACUAGGGAGGAUGAUGAAUCAUAACUGUGGAUUCAUAAAACAGUUAAUAUUCAUAGAGCACAGCUUAAACAGUCACCACAUUCCUACCCAUUAUAAACAAACAUGAAACAAGUAUUAUUGUGUAUAACCCCCCCCCCCAACCCUUCCCCAUACAAUACAGGUUAAAUAAACUGUCCCUCAUAAAGCCUAUGGAAUGUUAGUGUCAGACAAGCUCUCCCAGUUGAAUAACAAAUUCCUGAUAUUGACAUGAUUGCAUGUCAUUGCUGCAAACCUGCCCCCCUGACAACUGCCCCAGACUACAAAAGAAAAGGGAAACACACAAUGACCAUAACUUUUCUUCCAGAGGUGUAAAAAAAAAAAAAAAAAAAAGGGGGGGGAAUAAGUGUUUCUACAAUCUUACUACUACACAACCUGCCUUUUCUUAAGAAAAUAGUUGAUAAAAAUAUUCCUCUGCAUUGUACAAGAAAGGAGGUACGGGGAGCACUGGCAAAAGUGUAAGCUUAUUAUUCUGCCUCAUCCUCCUCUUUCUCAGGCUCAUCUGCAUCAGCAUCUGCCUCUUCUGCUGCCCCCUGGAGGAUGAAAAAAAUAUGUCUCAUAUUAUAGGAUAGUUAUUUUAGGUCUUGUUGGUUACACAAUAUUUUUGUGUGUAGGGGACAAACAGCUGUCAAUGCCAAUUAUAAUACUUGUCCUGUUUGUAAUACCUAAUACUCAUGAUUUUGAAUGCUGUAUAUAUCAGUGCCAUGGCAUAUCGUAUAAUUUAAACUAAACCAAGUCUUGCCUCCUCAUCUUUGGUCUCUCCGUUUUCUGCCGGUGCUGUUUUUUCCUCAGGAGCUUCUUUCUUCUCCUCAGGCUUGACCUUCUCUACUACCUCCUUUACUUUUUUGGGCUUGGCUGCUGCCUUGACUGGUGUCUACAAAAAAACAGACAAACAUGAGAUACAUGUCAAUGUAAAAAUGCACAGCACGCAUAAUAAUUGGGUGCUUUUUAGUUUCAGCAAAAGUUGACAACUACAACAUUUGUUUUUACCUUUGUCUUAGGCUCUGGUUUAGCCGGAGUAGUGGGUUUCUGCAAAAAUUAUUAAUAUUUGAUAAUUAGUCCAAUUACAAAUAGAAAAUAUCAUAUAUUAACCAAAUAGAUCGAAUAGAUCAUAAAUAGGCUAUACAACAUAUAACUAUUAACUUACUGAUGACAACCUCGUGGAUCGCCUUUUUGGCUGGUGAGAAAAACAAAAAGGUUAUCAGUUAUUGCAGAAAAAGUAUUUAUUUAUAAUGAACAAAUAUAACAGCAUGAAAUACUAACCUCGACUUCAGUGUCAUUACUUGCCUGUGGGGGUGGGGAGAGAGAGAAAAUAAAAUGUUAGCAAAAACCAAGAACAACAAUCCCACAUUCAUGGAUCUGGAGCUGCCGGGAGAAGUGGGAGUGUAAUGCUUGGGGAGGGGGAUGGGCUCACAUGCUGUACCCCCGCCGCUCCACCCCCAAAUUAACGAGGAUUAUGUAAUCUGAAACUGGGUGGGGGAGGGUAGGCUAACGUAUUUACAUUUCUAUGCCAUUUGACUUUUCCCAUUGUCAUGAUGCAAAAACAGAGCCUUUGUGGUACCAGUUACCGGGAGAGCGACAAGUAAAACAGUAUGUUAUAGUCAGGCUUUAGUAUCCUGUAAACAUAAAGGCCAAAUAGCAGCCCCCUCAAUCCACCAGCAACACACGGAGGCAUCCAUCCACACGCCAUGUCAACCAAUCUACUGUAUGUUCCCGCCAUUAGUAAUAUCUAUAAUUCCCUGAACCACCCCUAUACGAUCCCGUAUGCGCGUUCGUGCAUGUCCAGAGAAAUUCAAUGUUGCAUAAUGCAACAUUGUUAGAGAAGCAAAGACAGGAAAUACGCACGAACAAAUAGCAAAACAUUUUUUUUAUUACCGUGAUCACCUAUAAUUCAGGUGGUCUUUUUCUUUAAAAAUAAAUAAAUUAUAUGACCCCAUUUAAGUGAUACAUAACGAUGAGUUGUCGAUGCCUUUCGUAUUUGCAAGGGCUGCCAUGACACUCCAAAGACCGUACCUUUCCAUGCCAUAGGGUGUCGCGCAUUACACUACGCUUUACUGCACACAGGACACAAAGUGAUAAUAUAGGAUGCCACAAGCGUCUGUUUUUUUAGGAUUAAAACGGGGCUAUUAAAAGUAUUUGAAUACAAACGUGAACGUACUAUGUAUGCGAUUUAAAGCACUUCCAAUAUUCACAAAAUAUCCUAUAGUUCAUGCACGCAUUUCUGCAAUGGCAACAUGUAGCUUACUUACAUCGCUGGUGGGUUACACCCCUUUGUCUGAUCUCAUUGCUGAGAAGGCUUUUAAGCUACUUUACAUUAAUGAAAUACCCAAUAUAUGCGUCAAAUUAAAUGAGAUGAUUACGUUACUUAUAUAAAAAGCACAAGCUGUGAUAGUUUAUUAUGUACGGAUUAUUAACAGGAGAAAGUGAGAUCGACUGGAAAAUGCUACCACACUAAGUAAAAAGGCGCCACUUCCAUAUCAACAAGACAGACACACAAAGACACAUUCAGACUUUAGAGCAAAAGUGUUACAUUGUAUCAAGCAUAUUUUAGCGUACAUGCAAUUGUUGCAGGUAUUUAUAAAACACUUCCUGUGUUAAAUUAUAUUGUACAAUAAGGUUUAAAUGAAGGUACACAAUCCAACUUACUUUGCUUCUUUUCGGCAUGGCUGCUUUACUUGUAUUGUCUAGAUAACAAAUUAGCCUUCUCAGUUACUGAAAAUUCAGUGCAGGCUUCUGAAAGUGUUCGAUGUAACUCAGUCAGUACCUUCAGAACACACUGUAACUAACAUAAAUGUUCCAUCAGUAGGCCUACGUACAGAAACGAGCUGAAACCGGAUUGGAUCCCCCUCUCUAUAUUAUAUUCCUUAUCCUACCAACCUGACGGCCAACGCAUUCUCCGCCCCUUGUUGCCAUUGAUUGGCUUUAAGGUCCAGGCAACAUAUUUUUAAACCAUAGCAAGUUACCUGUGUGGGUAUGUCUGUAUGCCAAUCAGUCGUUCCAACUUUCGAUUUUUAUUAAAGGGGUGGGAAUAGCUCGAUUCAAAAUUGUGUUAUUUUCCUUGACAUUAUAUUAGAAUAAUGUAUACAUACUGUAAAU